rnacentral:rRNA from 1 species
UUGAUCUCAAAUCAGGUAGGACUACCCGCUGAACUUAAGCAUAUCAAUAAGCGGAGGAAAAGAAACUAACAAGGAUUCCCCUAGUAACUGCGAGUGAAGCGGGAAGAGCUCAAAUUUAAAAUCUGGCGUGCCUCCGGCCGUCCGAGUUGUAGUCUGGAGAAGCGUUUUCCGUGUUGGACCGUGUAUAAGUCUCUUGGAACAGGGCGUCAUAGAGGGUGAGAAUCCCGUCUUUGACACGGACUACCAAUGCUUUGUGAUGCGCUCUCAAAGAGUCGAGUUGUUUGGGAAUGCAGCUCAAAAUGGGUGGUAAAUUCCAUCUAAAGCUAAAUAUAGGCGAGAGACCGAUAGCGAACAAGUACCGUGAGGGAAAGAUGAAAAGCACUUUGGAAAGAGAGUUAAACAGUACGUGAAAUUGCUGAAAGGGAA